UGGGGAAUAUUGGACAAUGGGCGAAAGCCUGAUCCAGCCAUGCCGCGUGUGUGAAGAAGGUCUUCGGAUUGUAAAGCACUUUAAGUUGGGAGGAAGGGCAGUAAGCGAAUACCUUGCUGUUUUGACGUUACCGACAGAAUAAGCACCGGCUAACUCUGUGCCAGCAGCCGCGGUAAUACAGAGGGUGCAAGCGUUAAUCGGAAUUACUGGGCGUAAAGCGCGCGUAGGUGGUUCGUUAAGUUGAAUGUGAAAGCCCCGGGCUCAACCUGGGAACUGCAUCCAAAACUGGCGAGCUAGAGUAGGGCAGAGGGUGGUGGAAUUUCCUGUGUAGCGGUGAAAUGCGUAGAUAUAGGAAGGAACACCAGUGGCGAAAGCGACCACCUGGGCUCAUACUGACACUGAGGUGCGAAAGCGUGGGGAGCAAACAGG
rnacentral:rRNA from 1 species